rnacentral:lncRNA from 1 species
CGACAUUCCUCAAGAUAACAAGUAAUUUUUGAUAUACAUCAAAGAAUUAUAAAUAUUAUGCGGCAACAGAGGUGCAAGACAGGAAAAGUACUGCUGCAGAGCAAGACAUGGAAGAGAAACAUUGUUUAAUAUAGGCAAUUUAACUUUCUCUAAUUGAAUUUGUGAUACAUACAGAAGUUUAGCUUGAACAUCUUGCUGAAUAUUGCGAUGCCGUAAUCCUGGUGAAAGAGAACAUACAGCGGUUGUAUUAUUUAUGAAGUUAUUGCAGCAUCAAGGCAACAAUUGCUUCAUUCUGAAAAAAAUGAGUAUAUUGUACAGAAGAUAUGAACUGGCUAAUUACAAUAUCACUAGAGAACCAGAAACCUACUAUAAUGUAUUAAUAUCUAUUGUAUAAGCCUAUAUAAUGAAUGUUGAUGCCUAAUAAUUUACAUUUUGUGAUUUUGGUUAUGGAAAUAAAAAAUAUAAGUAGUG